GUAUUAUGUAACGCUACUUCAAAGUUAUAAAAUACAACACCAAAAUAAAAAAUACAUUUUUAUUUUCUAUGAUUAUAAUAAUUGUUGUGUUUCUUAAUUAAAUUAAGGCUGCUAUUUUAGUUUCGUCCGGAUAACGGUUCGACAUUAACAGCUAUAAAAUAUAAUAUUUUCAUAACUAUCAAAGAGAAUUGAUUAAUAGGGAACUACAGUAUGGCUAUUGGUAACGAAGUAUCAUCCGGCUAAGUAUGAAAGCGAACAGUUGCAUAGAACGUAGUGGAUUACGGCUAUAUCCGUUUUUUACAAGAUUAUAGCCCAGGGGUGGGACAGUCGCCUGUUAGUUGGCCCCAAAAUUAAAGCUUUGAAACCUGCCCACUGGUAAAAAAUAAAAUGGCGGCUACUUCUAGCGUUUGCACUUUGCGCAUGUAUGUAGCUCUGGUGUUCCAUUUUGCAUCUUUUUGGUAUUGAAAUCGAAGUGUAAGUGCGUCGAGUCGAGCCUUGUGUUCCUCCGCCUUGCUGUUGCGAAUUCACUCCAAAAAUCUCCUUAUUCUGUGAAUUUCUACUUUUGUGAUAGACACACUUUUGUUUGUGGAGUUUAUGAACUUUGGUGUAAUGCCGAGACAUUGUGCUUUCGGUUGUGUGCUCCGUGGCAAGUAAAUUAUUCUCUUAAAUCUUAACAGUAUAGUUUAUUGACUAAUCUUGUGAUAAAUAAAGUAUCAUAUAAGGUUUGUUCUACUCUCAGGUUCUACUACCGGUCCAUAGAUUGAAUUUGCAAUCAUGGUUAAAACUAUUAUAAACAUACCGGUUUUCUGUAUCUUGCCCCAAAGAUUAAACUCCAAUCCCUCAAUUCACCUUAUGUCAGACUUCAGACUCCCCCUGACUUAUAUGGUUUAAUAAUAAUUGACAGCUGUGCUGGCUUCUGACACCAUUUUUAUCAAGAGAAAAGUCAAUAUAUGAGUCCAAAAUCUAAUACUAGCCCAAUGGUCAUAACACUAGGUUAUCACAAUUUGUCUGAUGGCUUUAAUAGUCACUCAAUUUAUUUAAUAAUGCUAUUUAUUAUUUUCAGACAUUCCAAUGCAUCGUUUCCCAGAUGCUGUCAAAUUUCCUGAGCACUUUAAAACUUGGGUCAGUCUUGUUGGUGGAAACCCUUAAACAUCUGAUUUUGAAUGUUAUAAGAAGAAGAGAAUUUGUGAUGUACACUUUUCUGACAGACACAGAAAUCGUAAUCAACGGCUAAGCACAUUGGCAGUUCCGAUGCUUCAUCUGCCUGAUGCAUCUCAACAAUUUACUUCAGCAAGGUGCUUGAUGCUGGAACAUAAUUAUAGUUUUAUUAGCAAUCUAAAAGAACAGCUGGAAAAGAUCUAAUGGCUCCACAGCGCACAAAGAUCAAGCAUCUUCAAGCAGAAAUAUCACGCUUGCGAAAAAAAGGACAAUCUUUCAAAGCAAGGUUAAAAGGUGGUGAAGAUCGAUCAAUCGAUUUUUGUCCGGAAAAUUAACAUAUGUGGGUGAAGACGAAACAAAAACAGCUGCCCAACAAUAUUAUGAUAAACAUAAACAUUAUAAAAAUAAAAAAUAAUAUGCAAA